rnacentral:sRNA from 1 species
GAAUGUGAGGGUGACCUGGCUGUGACCCUGCCACCCCAUUGAUUGCCAGGGCCAUUAGACUGAUGUGGUGGCCCGGUGUCUUCUUUCUCUCUCACCUCUGCAUACGUCAUCUCGUCUCGGCUUCAGACAACAGGAAUGACCUUCCUGAUAACAGAGUGUUCAUUCUCGAUGAGCCCAGGGGGGUGUGAACGCUGACUGCUCAGUGAGACUUCCAAUGGGGGCUUUUUCUGUGACCCCACGAUGCCUCCCAUA